rnacentral:rRNA from 1 species
CCCAGACAGCCAGGAUGUUGGCUUAGAAGCAGCCAUCAUUUAAAGAAAGCGUAAUAGCUCACUGGUCGAGUCGGCCUGCGCGGAAGAUGUAACGGGGCUAAACCAUGCACCGAAGCUGCGGCAGCGAACGUAUCACUUAAAGCGAUUCAGCGGAUGACGAUUGACGGAGCGAAGCGACGUCAAAGCGUUUUACAACGUCGAGUCGGUUUAAGGAUACGUUCGUUGGGUAGGGGAGCGUUCUGUAAGCCUGCGAAGGUGUGUCGUGAGGCAUGCUGGAGGUAUCAGAAGUGCGAAUGCUGACAUAAGUAACGAUAAUGCGGGUGAAAAACCCGCACGCCGGAAGACCAA